GGAAUCGUUUAAGUAUGUCUAGCAUUUUCUGCUUACUUCCAUCAUUUGGUUGCAAAUGCUGUAGUUCCUCCAUGACAUUCUCUCUCAUAAAGGAUUCGGUGCAACGAAGACUAUGAGACUUGUAACAAGGCAGAGAGCAAUAACGGGUAUUACAUCGAGGGCAGGUAUACUGCGAAAAUUGCUUUUGACAAACCCGACAUAUUAUACGAGACGACGAGUUCAGCUCAGACGAACUUGAAACUCCCUCCGAUGUUAUAAUUUCGUCGGCCAUGGCAAAAAGUAAAGCAAUUAAUUAAGAGAAAAAGAU
rnacentral:misc_RNA from 1 species